rfam:Triticum aestivum genome assembly, contig: Triticum_aestivum_CS42_TGACv1_scaffold_289071_4AL
AACCUACUCCCUUCGUUCCGAAUUACUUGUCGUAGGUAUGGAUGUAUCUAAAUGUAUUUUAGUUUUAGAUACAUCCAUUUCUGUGACGAGUAAUUUGAAACAGAGGAAGUAUAUU